CAUUCAGAUGGUAAUCUCAGUAAUUGUAACGCCAAACUGUGACAAAAUUACUCAAUUCAUCAGGAGCUGGAUAUUCACAUUGUGUGGAUCUGCACUGGAACCCUUCUGUUUGCGGGACAAAUAUAUAUAAGUGACAUGGAUUAAAAUCUAAUUUGAGUACAUUUUGAAUUGUUGGAAGAUGUACAUUUGUGGAAGGAAGGGGAGCUGCCUGCAGCUGAAUAGUCACAUUGAAUUUUUUUUUGGUGAUUCCAUCUGCUGCUAAGCAUUCUAAUUAUCUUUUCAUUAUCAGAAAAAUUGCUUUAAACCUAUUCAGCAGUUGUAUUUUUCAUGAAUUUACAAUAA